GAUAAACUCUGGCGGCGUGCCUAAUACAUGCAAGUCGAGCGAACAGACGAGGAGCUUGCUCCUUUGACGUUAGCGGCGGACGGGUGAGUAACACGUGGGUAACCUACCUAUAAGACUGGGAUAACUUCGGGAAACCGGAGCUAAUACCGGAUAAUAUUUCGAACCGCAUGGUUCGAUAGUGAAAGAUGGCUUUGCUAUCACUUAUAGAUGGACCUGCGCCGUAUUAGCUAGUUGGUAAGGUAACGGCUUACCAAGGCAACGAUACGUAGCCGACCUGAGAGGGUGAUCGGCCACACUGGAACUGAGACACGGUCCGGACUCCUACGGGAGGCAGCAGUAGGGAAUCUUCCGCAAUGGGCGAAAGCCUGACGGAGCAACGCCGCGUGAGUGAUGAAGGUCUUCGAAUCGUUAAACUCUGUUAUUAGGGAAGAACAAACGUGUAAGUAACUGUGCACGUCUUGACGGUACCUAAUCAGAAAGCCACGGCUAACUACGUGCCAGCAGCCGCGGUAAUACGUAGGUGGCAAGCGUUAUCCGGAAUUAUUGGGCGUAAAGCGCGCGUAGGCGGUUUUUUAAGUCUGAUGUGAAAGCCCACGGCUCAACCGUGGAGGGUCAUUGGAAACUGGAAAACUUGAGUGCAGAAGAGGAAAGUGGAAUUCCAUGUGUAGCGGUGAAAUGCGCAGAGAUAUGGAGGAACACCAGUGGCGAAGGCGACUUUCUGGUCUGUAACUGACGCUGAUGUGCGAAAGCGUGGGGAUCAAACAGGAUUAGAUACCCUGGUAGUCCACGCCGUAAACGAUGAGUGCUAAGUGUUAGGGGGUUUCCGCCCCUUAGUGCUGCAGCUAACGCAUUAAGCACUCCGCCUGGGGAGUACGACCGCAAGGUUGAAACUCAAAGGAAUUGACGGGGACCCGCACAAGCGGUGGAGCAUGUGGUUUAAUUCGAAGCAACGCGAAGAACCUUACCAAAUCUUGACAUCCUUUGACCCUUCUAGAGAUAGAAGUUUCCCCUUCGGGGGACAAAGUGACAGGUGGUGCAUGGUUGUCGUCAGCUCGUGUCGUGAGAUGUUGGGUUAAGUCCCGCAACGAGCGCAACCCUUAAGCUUAGUUGCCAUCAUUAAGUUGGGCACUCUAAGUUGACUGCCGGUGACAAACCGGAGGAAGGUGGGGAUGACGUCAAAUCAUCAUGCCCCUUAUGAUUUGGGCUACACACGUGCUACAAUGGACAAUACAAAGGGCAGCGAAACCGCGAGGUCAAGCAAAUCCCAUAAAGUUGUUCUCAGUUCGGAUUGUAGUCUGCAACUCGACUACAUGAAGCUGGAAUCGCUAGUAAUCGUAGAUCAGCAUGCUACGGUGAAUACGUUCCCGGGUCU
rnacentral:rRNA from 1 species